rnacentral:lncRNA from 1 species
CUGAAACAACUUCAGCACGAUAACUAUCCAACAAAACAGAUGCAACACUGUUCUUGACUCUCCCAUCCCUCAUUAAUUUUUAAAACAUUAGACUGAGUACAACACCGUGUUCCUGUUACACACUCAUACCUUUCAAGCUGUGCAAGAGAAACAACAGUUGUGGUCUAACCUUUUACCAGCCUGUGUAAGCUAGCUUGUAUGGACUAAGUUUUACCACUGUAGAAAUUGCUUUUCUUUGAGACACAAAACUAAAUUACUGAAGCAAAGAAGCAUUCCUUGCUUAAUCACUGGCACGAAAUCCACCCUAGUGCAUUUUGAUGAAUGGUAACAGAGAAACAUGACCUAAACAGCAUAAGGCUAAUUUAAAAAACACUUUUUCCAAAAUGAAAUUUUACUUUUUCACCUUAGAUUCCCAGAGCUCACAGUACUGCUGAUCAUCAUCCCACAGUUUGACGAGAGGUCAACCAUGUCAUUUGUUAGAGUUGCAAGCUGAAGUGUGUGUCCUGUUUCUCCAACAACUCUCUUAAUCCUUCACCAGAACAUCACCACUUAAACUUAAUUUACAAAUCUACAGUCAAGAGGGAGAAGAACAUCAAAAGGAUCCUGUGACUAACCUUGAUUUCUUAAACAGCUCUGAGGUACUCUUGAUAGGCAUGUAAUUGUGUUUGCCUUCUGAUGCAUGACAGACAUCAAAAAUUGUGAUAUGAGUGUGACACUGGUCUCAGCAGUACUGAGAAUAACUGUUUACGAUCCUAAAUAGCUUGAUUUACAGAAGGGUAGUUUCUGAGGCUGUAAAGCCCAAAGGAGUAUUAAUGUUGACACUUGAUGCAAUUUUAAGAAUUCAAAUGCCUUCUUUGCACCUGAACUGAAGCCACCCUUCCUUNNNNNGUCUGACAGAAACAGAUAUUUCCUCACAUUUAGCACUGUUUCUGUGCCUUGUAGCAGUUAAUCACGACCAACUUCCACAGCAAUGGAUGCAAGGCAGCCUAAUUCAAUUGGAACGACAGGCCUGAUCAACAAAACAUUUGCACAAUGUUUUGGAGAAGUUUUAACAACAAAGCAGGAGAGUAUAUGCCAGGACUGAAGCCAUGAUCCAUUUCUCCAAGCAUCUAUCACCUACACUCUCCACAGCAUGGAUUCCAGAUUCCACAGACUCUUGCUGCUGUACAGUUAACUGCCAGCUGUAAAUAAAUGACCUCUAAGCACAAA